AAUAUAUACAUAUACACACAUAUACACUUACAUAUAUGUAUAUACAUAUAUAUAGACAAACACACACACCACACGCAAACAACAAUUUCUCAUCUACAAUUCAUCUCAAUAAAGAGCUUUUUUCCUCUUCUCCCAAGCUUUAUCUAGGUAAUUGGCUAAUUUAUGUUUCAUAUGUGAACAGCAAUCUCAGUCUUUGAGCAUCAUCCAUAUUUACCAAAUCAAUCUCUGCUUUUAUCCUACGAAACAAAAAAAUCACGCUGUUCACAAUAAAAAGGACAAUAGAAAACAAAAUGGAACUCAUUUUCUAUAUAUGUAUAAAUAUUUUACUUAUGUGAAUGAUCUAAAUAAUUCUUCCACCACUGCACGUAUGUACUAUUGUACUAUGUAUGAUAUUUAAUUAAUAUUACAGUAAAAAAAAAAAAAUCUUGAUAAUAAAAUAAAUUACUGUUGUGAAUAUCUUGUCUUGUAAAAUGAAACUGAAAAUCCUCUCCUCUCUCCCUCCAAUGCUCUUGUCUGCCUCCUCUCUACGUUGCUGCUGGACCAUCAGUGUUGGUUACCCCCGUGGCAACUCGACAGUGUGCAGCUGCCCUCCAGCUCCUCUCCAUCUCCCUCUCCAUCUCCCUCUACUUCUAUCACAUCUGUCUUUACUGGCCCUUCUAUCCACUCUAUCUAUUAUUGGUUCUCUUCACCUCUCUCCUAUAACAUCUACCACUCAUCCCUAAUAUUAUUGGUUCUCUUCACCUCUCUCCUAUCACCCUCUACCCACUCAUCCCUUAAUAUAAGGUUUUCUAUCUCUCCUGUCAAAUCUAAUAAAUCUAUCUAAAUUUGA